GACGAACGCUGGCGGCGUGCUUAACACAUGCAAGUCGAACGGAAAGGCUCCAGCUUGCUGGAGUGCUCGAGUGGCGAACGGGUGAGUAACACGUGGGUAAUCUGCCCUGCACUCUGGGAUAAGCCUGGGAAACUGGGUCUAAUACCGGAUAGGACCUUUCUCCUCAUGGGGUUUGGUGGAAAGUUUUUCGGUGCAGGAUGAGCCCGCGGCCUAUCAGCUUGUUGGUGGGGUAAUGGCCUACCAAGGCGACGACGGGUAGCCGGCCUGAGAGGGUGAUCGGCCACAUUGGGACUGAGAUACGGCCCAGACUCCUACGGGAGGCAGCAGUGGGGAAUAUUGCACAAUGGGCGAAAGCCUGAUGCAGCGACGCCGCGUGAGGGAUGACGGCCUUCGGGUUGUAAACCUCUUUCAGUAGGGACGAAGCGCAAGUGACGGUACCUGCAGAAGAAGCACCGGCUAACUACGUG
rnacentral:rRNA from 1 species